rnacentral:rRNA from 1 species
UACGUAGGGUGCGAGCGUUAAUCGGAAUUACUGGGCGUAAAGCGUGCGCAGGCGGUUUUGCAAGUCUGAUGUGAAAUCCCGGGGCUCAACCCCGGAACUGCAUUGGAUACUGCCUUGCUUGAGUACUGGAGAGGGAACUGGAAUUUACGGUGUAGCAGUGAAAUGCGUAGAGAUCGUAAGGAAGGCCAGUGGCGAAGGCGAGUUCCUGGACAGUGACUGACGCUGAGGCACGAAGGCCAGGGGAGCAAACGGG